ACAAGUAUAAACGGUUAGGUGUGAUACCUGGGAAUAUCUUGUGAAAAAGAUACUAAAGGCGGGUUCCUUAAGAAAAUUAUUCUUUAACUGAUGAUCGAGCAACCAAAACUCAAAUAGAAUGCACUGGUGCUGAAGUGGUUUGCUUAAUUAAGAAAGUUGAGAUUACUUUUAUUGUACUUUUAGGAUGAUUUACUGGGAUGAGCACCAGUAGAGUUAAAUGUUUGCUGCCUUUUUUAGUCAAGAUUUGCUCCUUUAUAACAAAAAAAAAAAUUCAAAUGUAUUCUUGAGAAGACAAUUGACUUUGCUGAUUUUCUUUUUUCACGCAGUAGAAAAGAUCAUGGUUGCAAGAUCAGAUAUUCUUAGGAAUUGUGUGUGUCUCAAUUAAAUACUUGGCCAUUCAACUGAGCUGCAAUGUAUUAGAAAUUCACAGGCAAGAGAGAUGUUCUUCUCAUGAUUUUAAGUAAAGCACAAGCUCUUUCUAAUGUUGUAUGGGGUGCACGGGCCUCAGCAUGCUCUCGGGCCCGUGCAGAGCACGGGAGCCUACAUCUAGUAAUAUAAUAAGUAAAGGUCCUCUUGAACGACGAAGGGCAUUGCCGUAAAUAUAAGCUUCUUUGUGGCUAACCUCUAAACGCGUCUUUCAGCCGUGAAAAAUAAAUACCUGUCUCCCUACAAGUCAUGCUCUUUUACACACUUUAGUUCCCGCACAUUCUUCUCUCUUAUUUCCAAAUUUCUAUCACUGGAUUUUUUCAAAGUUUAUUCAUUUGUAGAAUUCUUGGGAAGGUUGUCCGUUUGUCUAAUUCGUCUCUGGUAUAAGCUCUCAGUUGUGGUAUUCUAGAACAGAGUCCUCUGGAAUGUGUUGUUGUUGUUUCAUGUAUAGUACUUCUUAUCUG